rnacentral:rRNA from 1 species
UGAACGCUGGCGGCGUGCCUACUACAUGCAAGUCGAGCGAACGGACGAGAAGCUUGCUUCUCUGAUGUUAGCGGCGGACGGGUGAGUAACACGUGGAUAACCUACCUAUAAGACUGGGAUAACUUCGGGAAACCGUAGCUAAUACCGGAUAAUAUUUUGAACCGCAUGGUUCAAAAGUGAAAGACGGUCUUGCUGUCACUUAUAGAUGGAUCCGCGCUGCAUUAGCUAGUUGGUAAGGUAACGGCUUACCAAGGCAACGAUGCAUAGCCGACCUGAGAGGGUGUCCGCCCACACUGGACUGGGACCACGUUCCAGACCCCUCGGGGAGGAAGCAUUAGGAAAUUUCCCGCAUGGGGCGAAGGCUGGACGAGGCACCGCGGCUGGGUUAUGAAGGUCCUCCGAUUCGUAAACUCUGUUUAUAGGGAAGAACAUAUGUGUAAGUAACUGUGCACAUCUUGACGGUACCUAAUCAGAAAGCCACGGCUAACUACGUG